UACGUAGGUGGCAAGCGUUGUUCGGAAUAACUGGGCGUAAAGGAUGCGUAGGCGGUUAAACAAGUUAUAUGUUAAAUAUAUAGGCUUAACCUGUAGAAAGCAUAUAAAACUGUUUAACUAGAGUGCAGGAGAGGUAAGUGGAAUUCCUAGUGUAGCGGUGAAAUGCAUAGAUAUCGCGCAGAACUCCGAUUGCGAAGGCAGCAUGCCGGCUCCACACUGACGCUGAGGCACGAAAGCGUGGGUAUCGAACAGG
rnacentral:rRNA from 1 species